AGUCCGGCUAGCGGAGCCCAGCGCUCCGCCAAAGCGGACGCGCCCCAGGAUUCGCCACCAGGUCUCCCGGGCCUUUAACCACCGGGAGUAGCUCUUCCAGCGCCUUCCUUCGGAAAAGAGAAUUUACAAAAAAAAGUUUAACAGCGAUUUAAUUUUUUUGUGGUCCUACAUACACGGAAUCGGGAAUCGCAGUAUGCUUGCAGAAUAACGUAGCUGCGGUCUGCCUAAAGGGUUUCUCUACACACACUCUCACACACGCACGCACACACGCCCUCGCCGCACACACGCCCAUGCCAAGGGAAGCGCAGCCCUGACUCCGCGUGGACCCAUCUGAAUGAGGUGCGGAGGAGUGUACGUGGGUGUGUGUGAAUGCGCUUCCACGGGCUGAGAUGUGUAUUUCGGUGAGUGUGUGUGAAUUCGAGGGCGCUCGUGAGCCCGUUUCUGCCCGCGCUGGUACGAACAUGCCGCGAGCAACAGCAAUCAAUAUGUAACUUUCUUCAUCCUCUGAGAAAAAUCAGCUGUCCUCAGGCACCUAUGCAAGGAAAGUCACUUAAUUAUGAAAGUGUUUCAGAAGAAAAGCAGACUCCCGUUGAAAGAGAGGCUAUGUCUCUUAAGAGAAAUAGAGCCUCUCCUUUAAGGAGAAAGGCUCACUGUCAAUACAAGCUUUGUAAACUCAAAUCCGGCUAAAUACUACUUAAGGUUCUACCCCUUUUGGUCAUCCUUCCUCACCAUCUCAGCCCAGGUUCAAGGUAAA
rnacentral:lncRNA from 10 species